GGGGGAUUAGCUCAGCUGGUAGAGCGCUUGCAUGGCAUGCAAGAGGUCAACGGUUCGACCCCGUUAUCCUCCACCA
rnacentral:tRNA from 2 species